AGCGAACGCUGGCGGCAGGCCUAACACAUGCAAGUCGAACGAACUCUUCGGAGUUAGUGGCGGACGGGUGAGUAACACGUGGGAACGUGCCUUUAGGUUCGGAAUAACCCAGGGAAACUUGUGCUAAUACCGAAUGUGCCCUUCGGGGGAAAGAUUUAUCGCCUUUAGAGCGGCCCGCGUCUGAUUAGCUAGUUGGUGAGGUAAAGGCUCACCAAGGAGACGAUCAGUAGCUGGUCUGAGAGGAUGAUCAGCCACAUUGGGACUGAGCCACGGCCCAAACUCCUACGGGAGGCAGCAGUGGGGAAUCUUGCGCAAUGGGCGAAAGCCUGACGCAGCCAUGCCGCGUGAAUGAUGAAGGUCUUAGGAUUGUAAAAUUCUUUCACCGGGGACGAUAAUGACGGUACCCGGAGAAGAAGCCCCGGCUAACUUCGUGCCAGCCGCCGCCGUAA
rnacentral:rRNA from 1 species